rnacentral:lncRNA from 1 species
CUUAAGUGCUGCACUCGAGUGUUUAUUCCUCUGCUUUCACCGUAAUGGAGCGUUUACCUUCACAGCAGAAGACAGCAGAGCCGAGGAAAUGAGAAAGAGGAAAAGACUAUUUUUGGGUGCAGGGCUCGACUCGUACUGCAGUCAUUUCACUCGGGGGAUUAAGACUCCCUUGACUCUCCCUCCCUCCUCUCCUCCUUCCCUCUGCAGCCGCCAGUGGAUUUACUAUUUACCCGGUUAUUUAUCACUUUGGAGCUUUGACGGCAAGGCCUGCAGAGCCGGGGAGAGCGACACGCGUCCGGGGCUGGAAUUAAAACUCUCAGCCUGGAGUAAUUUGAUUUGAUUACUCUAUGAUCCAUCAGAGGAAGUCUCACUUUGUCAGGGUCAACCCUGCUGGUUUAGGGGAUGACGCAAAGAGGAAGUGGAGCUGUACAUGUUGCUCACAGAAAAAGAUUGUAUUCGUGGACUGAAGAAAGUAUUGCUACUUUUGCACCUGACUUUUUUGGGUUCAGUUAAAACAAACUCGAAUUUUUUUUUUUUUGCUAAAUUAGUGCAGACUGAGACUGCUAGAAAAGGCGGUUGUUGGUCCACUUAAAAGGGAUUUUCUGGCAUAAAAUUAAUUUAGGGUCAAACACACCAUAACACCAAGUUAGACACCCCCUCAAGAGGUGAAUGUUGCCGACCGCUUGCUUCUUUAGUUAUACCAACUUAAGUAACGACCACACGAUAGCAAUACACAGCGGUCUGAGGAGCCAUAAACAAACCUCAACCAAAACGCCACUCUAUAGCUACAAACAAUCCUCAGAACAGCACCUAACUUCAUCAGCAGUACAUAUAGGGUCCCAACCACAGUACUAGCCACCAAACAUCUUUUUAACUUUGUCUAAUUUCUUUAGCAAAGAGACUAAACACAACUCACCUACUCUCUUCCAGCAGCCGCUUGUUUGUAGUGAGACCUCAGGCCAGUCCAUUACAGAUUGCUGCGGGGUGACGCAGCUCAAGGGAGAAUAUUUAUGAUUAUUAAUCUAUCAUUUCCCUGAAGUUAACAUUAAUCAUUUUGCACGGCAGAUGCGGUAGUUCUUCUGCCUUGCUUUGUGGGGUCAGACUCACCUAUCUAGUCAGCUUCUAGUGGACACUUAGGGUACUGCAGUUAUUUGGCUUCACCUCUCUGUUCUCGGCGAUGUUGCCCGUGUUUUAGCCGUUUCCCUCACCGUUACAGGGACGCUAAAGGCACCGAGUUGUUGAAGCCUCUCUCCUCCAGCACCUCUCCACACUCAGUGAGAGUAAAUCCUAAGGAUCAGCUCAGACAGAAGAGUCUUUGUUAUGAGAGCACCUGAACAAAUCAUCUCAUCCCUUCCUCUUUUAUCCUCUCACCUUCCUCUUCACUUCCUCUUUUUGCACUCUCACCUUCUUCGCCCUCUCUCCAAAGAACUUACCUUUCUGUAACUUUUCUUCCGGCUCCCUCUUUUUUUUUGGGUCUCUGAGUUCUGACAGAGUGACUGAUGUGGACCAUUACCGGCUCUGAUGGUUCUCUAUCAGAUGAAAUCCUCCUUAGCACUCUGUCAAUGUCACUGAGGAGAUACUCUGAGGCUAAUGGUCCAACUCCAGCACCCGUGUCUCAGUGAAACUUUAGAGUAAAAAUAACACAAAGACUGUAUUUAACUGGAUAAUAUGAAUCCAUGUAGGAACCUGACACUUACAUGUCAGUGAGGUCAGUAAAAGCUGAAGAAUUUCCCCAGCUCUGGGGUGUCUUCAGAAAUCUGUAGAAGAGCUGAUUUAGAGAAACUGGACAUCUUGAGUUUCAGAUGAAUGCGACAUGACAGGACACUACUGUGGAAUCAGAGUCCUAAAUUUAACAUUCAGGAAGCGAAUAAAUCAAAAUAACUCCCAAAAUGUCAAAGAUUUCCUCUGAGAAAGUUCAGAAUUUCCUUGAGGUAAACCACAGUUAACCAGCCUGAAUAUUAUUCUGUUGUUUUUCUACUUUCAGGUCUCUGUGUGACGAUAUUUCAGCAAACAGGUCCAAUAAAACAGAAAGGUGGACGACUGGAGAGCUUUUUGUCCUCCUUGGACCAAAGUGAAAUGUCUAACAAGUGGAGAUUGUGUAAUCUAUUGAGGAUCUGGCGGUAAAUCUCGCUCAGGUCCCACCAGCACAGAACAAUAAGUUAGAAAGCCAACAGCAGCAUGAGACGGGGGAGCUGUGAACACCUCGGGCUCAGAGCCGGCUCAGAAAGCUCCGUCCUCGCCCGCUGAUUCAUCCAGAGUUGAUAAACUCAGGUGGGAUAAGACACAGGGCUGUCUGUAUCAGGUUUAAUUGACUGCAGAGUCUCGGGUCUUAAAGGAUGAGGACAGGACAGGAAAUAUAGACACUGAUAAUAAAAACACA